CCUGCUCCUUUACUAGACCAGCUGUGAGUCUCCAGGUGUUUUGUGUCUUGAAUAACCGACCGGAAUUGACUGUCACUGUCAGGAUGGCACUUUCAGAGUGGACCAGAAUUUUCCUGGUAGAAGCCAAAGGUGUCCUGCAUGGAGACACUUGGAAUCUGGAGUUUGAUCCCUCUAUUCGACCCAACUCUCCAGAGCCAGGAUGGAAGGAAUACAUCAGGACCACGAGUGCAAGGUUUCAGUGCACCCAGUGUCAAAGGAUGAAGGAUGUAGAGAAGGCAUCUGCAACAGAGAGUGAGCUGAGCUUUGUCAAUCUUCAGCU